GCUUCGUCAACUGAAAAAUGAUAAAUUGAUAAAGCCUUGUGCUACAGCUACAGCCACUGACGGUUAAGGGACUGUGAUGCUACCAAGAACCCCUAGCUUGCUUGAAUGUUCAAGCAGCUAAUGAACCGGAAGUCUCACACAGUCACAGAAAACGGUUUACGUCUGCAUUGAAA